GAUGAACGCUGGCGGCGUGCUUAACACAUGCGAGUCGAACGGAAAGGCUCCUGCUUGCAGGGGUACUCGAGUGGCGAACGGGUGAGUAACACGUGGGUGAUCUGCCCUGCACUUCGGGAUAAGCCUGGGAAACUGGGUCUAAUACCGGAUAGGACCACAUUUUGGAUGGUGUGGUGGAAAGUUUUUCGGUGUGGGAUGAGCUCGCGGCCUAUCAGCUUGUUGGUGGGGUAAUGGCCUACCAAGGCGUCGACGGGUAGCCGGCCUGAGAGGGUGUACGGCCACAUUGGGACUGAGAUACGGCCCAGACUCCUACGGGAGGCAGCAGUGGGGAAUAUUGCACAAUGGGCGCAAGCCUGAUGCAGCGACGCCGCGUGGGGGAUGACGGCCUUCGGGUUGUAAACUCCUUUCGCUAGGGACGAAGCGUUUUUGUGACGGUACCUGGAGAAGAAGCACCGGCUAACUACGUG
rnacentral:rRNA from 1 species